rnacentral:lncRNA from 1 species
CCCAGGUGUCCUCCAGGUGUGCCCAGGUGUCCCCCAGGUGUGCCCAGGUGUCCCCCAGGUGUGCCCAGGUGUGGCUCGGAGCCGUUGAGGAAGGUGGCCGCCCCUCCCCCGCCGUAGACCAGAACCCCUCCGGACCAAUCGAAGGCGCCGACGGCUCCCAGGGCCGGACCGGCCUGGAGGGGGUCAAAGGUCAAAGGUCAGCGGGGUCAGAGGGGUCAAAGGUCAAGGGGGUCAGAGGGGUCAAAGGUCAAGGGGGUCAGAGGGGUCAAGCAUCAAAGGUCAGAGGGGUCAAAGGUCAGGGGUCAGUGGGGUCAAAGGGGUCAGAGGUCAAGGGUCAGUGGACAGGGGUCAAGGGUCAGGGGUCAUCUACAGGGCUCAGGGUCAGUGGUCAGUGGACAGGGGUCAGGGGUCAGGGGUCAGAGGUCAGGGGUCAGUGGUUGGGGUCAGGGGUCAGUGGUCAGGGGUCAGAGGUCAAGGGUCAGUGGUCAGUGGUCAGGGAUCAGGGGUCAGGGGUCAGAGGUCAGGGGUCAGAGGUCAGGGGUCAGGGGUCAGAGGUCAGAGGUCAGGGGUCAGUGGUCAGAGGUCAGGGGUCAGGGGUCAGGGGUCAGAGGUCAGGGGUCAAAGAUCAGGGGUCAGGGGUCACCUAGAGGGGUCAGGGGUCAAAGGUCAGGGGUCACCUACAGGGGUCAGGGGUCAGUGGUCAGUGGUCAGAGCUCAGAGGUCAGGGGUCAGUGGUCAGUGGUCAGAGGUCAGGGGUCAAAGGUCAGGGGUCACCUACAGGGGUCAGGGCGGCGCUGAACCCCUCCUGGGCCAUCUCCAGCUGGAAGGAGCUGCUGAGGGCGGAUUGCGUACCUGGGACAGGUGAGGGACAGGUGAGGGACAGGUGAGGGACAGGUGAGGGACAGGUGUGACCCCAGGUGUGACCCCAGGUGUGUCCCCAGGUGUGUCCAGGUGUCCCCAGGUGUGCCUGGGUGUCCCCAGGUGUGUCCCAGGUGUGUCCCAGAUGUGUCCCCAGAUG